GUACUGUCCCCUGCAGUACAAUUUCUAGUACGCGGUGCGACAACUAUGAUAUUGCCUGCCACACAUGUUCCUAUUUAUUCCCAGUGGGGACAGGCAUUUGGCAAUUCUGUGUCUCGUUCUUAACUAGGAAUGCCUUGUACGGGUCUUUGGUUCAACAGACCACCCGGAAUACGUCCCUGCCCUUUGUACACACCGCCCGUCGCUCUUACCGAUGAUUUUCGCUGUGAGUUUGAAGGACUGAAUCCGACCUUAUAGGAUUUGGAAAUUCUGUCAAACAGUGAGAUUUAAAGGAAAGAGAAGUCGUAACAAGGCAUCAGGGUACCGAGCUCGA
rnacentral:rRNA from 1 species